AGAGUUUGAUCCUGGCUCAGGACGAACGCUGGCGGCGUGCUUAACACAUGCAAGUCGAGCGGAAAGGCCCUUCGGGGUACUCGAGCGGCGAACGGGUGAGUAACACGUGAGGAACCUGCCCUUAACUCUGGGAUAGCUUCGGGAAACCGGAAUUAAUACCGGAUACGACUGCGACCGGCAUCGGUCAUGGUGGAAAGAUU
rnacentral:rRNA from 1 species